UCCUGAAAGAGCAUACAGUGGGUGACGUCAUCAGUCUGGGACCCAAUCGGGCUCCUGAAAGAGCAUACAGUGGGUGACGUCAUCAGUCUGGGACCCAAUCGGGCUCCUGAAAGAGCAUACAGUGGGUGACGUCAUCAGUCUGGGACCCAAUCGGGCUCCUGAAAGAGCAUACAGUGGGUGACGUCAUCAGUCUGGGACCCAAUCGGGCUCCUGAAAGAGCAUACAGUGGGUGACGUCAUCAGUCUGGGACCCAAUCGGGCUCCUGAAAGAGCAUACAGUGGGUGACGUCAUCAGUCUGGGACCCAAUCGGGCUCCUGAAAGAGCAUACAGUGGGUGACGUCAUCAGUCUGGGACCCAAUCGGGCUCCUGAAAGAGCAUACAGUGGGUGACGUCAUCAGUCUGGGACCCAAUCGGGCUCCUGAAAGAGCAUACAGUGGGUGACAUCAUCAGUCUGGGACCCAAUCGGGCUCCUGAAAGAGCAUACAGUGGGUGACGUCAUCAGUCUGGACCCAAUCGGGCUCCUGAAAGAGCAUACAGUGGGUGACAUCAUCAGUCUGGACCCAAUCGGGCUCCUGAAAGAGCAUACAGUGGGUGACGUCAUCAGUCUGGGACCCAAUCGGGCUCCUGAAAGAGCAUACAGUGGGUGACGUCAUCAGUCUGGGACCCAUUCCAUUGAAGGGUUUAGGUAAACUGUCUGGGACCUGGUAGAAUCCAUUGAGGGGUUUAGGUAAACUGUCUGGGACCUGGUAGAAUCCAUUGAAGGGUUUAGGUAAACUGUCUGGGACCUGGUAGAAUCCAUUGAGGGGUUUAGGUAAACUGGAACCUGGUAGAAUCCAUUGAAGGGUUUAGGUAAACUGGGACCUGGUAGAAUCCAUUGAAGGGUUUAGGUAAACUGUCUGGGACCUGGUAGAAUCCAUUGAAGGGUUUAGGUAAACUGUCUGGGACCUGGUAGAAUCCAUUGAAGGGUUUAGGUAAACUGUCUGGGACCUGGUAGAAUCCAUUGAAGGGUUUAGGUAAACUGUCUGGGACCUGGUAGAAUCCAUUGAAGGGUUUAGGUAAACUGUCUGGGACCUGGUAGAAUCCAUUGAAGGGUUUAGGUAAACUGUCUGGGACCUGGUAGAAUCCAUUGAAGGGUUUAGGUAAACUGUCUGGGACCUGGUAGAAUCCAUUGAAGGGUUUAGGUAAACUGGGACCUGGUAGAAUCCAUUGAAGGGUUUAGGUAAACUGUCUGGGACCUGGUAGAAUCCAUUGAAGGGUUUAGGUAAACUGUCUGGGACCUGGUAGAAUCCAUUGAAGGGUUUAGGUAAACUGGGACCUGGUAGAAUCCAUUGAAGGGUUUAGGUAAACUGUCUGGGACCUGGUAGAAUCCAUUGAAGGGUUUAGGUAAACUGUCUGGGACCUGGUAGAAUCCAUUGAAGGGUUUAGGUAAACUGUCUGGGACCUGGUAGAAUCCAUUGAAGGGUUUAGGUAAACUGUCUGGGACCUGGUAGAAUCCAUUGAAGGGUUUAGGUAAACUGUCUGGGACCUGGUAGAAUCCAUUGAAGGGUUUAGGUAAACUGUCUGGGACCUGGUAGAAUCCAUUGAAGGGUUUAGGUAAACUGGGACCUGGUAGAAUCCAUUGAAGGGUUUAGGUAAACUGUCUGGGACCUGGUAGAAUCCAUUGAAGGGUUUAGGUAAACUGUCUGGGACCUGGUAGAAUCCAUUGAAGGGUUUAGGUAAACUGGGACCUGGUAGAAUCCAUUGAAGGGUUUAGGUAAACUGUCUGGGACCUGGUAGAAUCCAUUGAAGGGUUUAGGUAAACUGUCUGGGACCUGGUAGAAUCCAUUGAAGGGUUUAGGUAAACUGUCUGGGACCUGGUAGAAUCCAUUGAAGGGUUUAGGUAAACUGGGACCUGGUAGAAUCCAUUGAAGGGUUUAGGUAAACUGUCUGGGACCUGGUAGAAUCCAUUGAAGGGUUUAGGUAAACUGUCUGGGACCUGGUAGAAUCCAUUGAAGGGUUUAGGUAAACUGGGACCUGGUAGAAUCCAUUGAAGGGUUUAGGUAAACUGUCUGGGACCUGGUAGAAUCCACUGAAGGGUUUAGGUAAACUGUCUGGGACCUGGUAGAAUCCAUUGAAGGGUUUAGGUAAACUGUCUGGGACCUGGUAGAAUCCAUUGAAGGGUUUAGGUAAACUGGGACCUGGUAGAAUCCAUUGAAGGGUUUAGGUAAACUGUCUGGGACCUGGUAGAAUCCAUUGAAGGGUUUAGGUAAACUGUCUGGGACCUGGUAGAAUCCAUUGAAGGGUUUAGGUAAACUGUCUGGGACCUGGUAGAAUCCAUUGAAGGGUUUAGGUAAACUGUCUGGGACCUGGUAGAAUCCACUGAAGGGUUUAGGUAAACUGUCUGGGACCUGGUAGAAUCCAUUGAAGGGUUUAGGUAAACUGUCUGGGACCUGGUAGAAUCCAUUGAAGGGUUUAGGUAAACUGGGACCUGGUAGAAUCCAUUGAAGGGUUUAGGUAAACUGUCUGGGACCUGGUAGAAUCCAUUGAAGGGUUUAGGUAAACUGUCUGGGACCUGGUAGAAUCCAUUGAAGGGUUUAGGUAAACUGGGACCUGGUAGAAUCCAUUGAAGGGUUUAGGUAAACUGUCUGGGACCUGGUAGAAUCCAUUGUAGGGUUUAGGUAAACUGUCUGGGACCUGGUAGAAUCCAUUGAAGGGUUUAGGUAAACUGUCUGGGACCUGGUAGAAUCCAUUGAAGGGUUUAGGUAAACUGUCUGGGACCUGGUAGAAUCCAUUGAAGGGUUUAGGUAAACUGUCUGGGACCUGGUAGAAUCCAUUGAAGGGUUUAGGUAAACUGUCUGGGACCUGGUAGAAUCCAUUGAAGGGUUUAGGUAAACUGUCUGGGACCUGGUAGAAUCCAUUGAAGGGUUUAGGUAAACUGUCUGGGACCUGGUAGAAUCCAUUGAAGGGUUUAGGUAAACUGUCUGGGACCUGGUAGAAUCCAUUGAAGGGUUUAGGUAAACUGGGACCUGGUAGAAUCCAUUGGAGGGUUUAGGUAAACUGUCUUGGAGAUAUGAGUAUUUGUACGAAAUGGUGUACAUUAAUGUCCUAAGACAUUGAGUAUAUUGAGUUUCUUAAACAAAGGUGCAGAUGGAGCCAGGUAAUUAGAGAGGAGGUGGGUUGUCUUGUAAAUGUAUUUUGAGUUGGUUUCAUUAAUUAGUGAAUGAAAAUGAUUGUGUAAUAAAAUCAAAUUGGUGUCAUCAGCAAAGAGAAGGGGAAGUACGGUAGAAUACCCAGCAGUCAGGUUAUUGAUAUAGUUCAGGGGCAGAACGACAGAUUUGUACCAUGUCAGCUCGGGGGUUUGAACUUGCAACCUUCCGGUUACUAGUCCAACGCUCUAACCACUAGGCUACCUUGUCGCCCCUAUAGAUUAGUAUGGUAGAAGACCCAGCAGGUAAUUGAUAUAGAUAAGUAUGGUAGAAGACCCAGCAGUCAGGUUAUUGAUAUAGAUUAGUAUGAUAUGGUAGAAGACCUAGCAGGUUAUUGAUAUAGAUUAGUAUGGUAGAAGACCCAGCAGGUUAUUGAUAUAGAUAAGUAUGGUAGAAGACCCAGCAGGUUAUUGAUAUAGAUAAGUAUGGUAGAAGACCCAGCAGUAAGGUUAUUGAUAUAGAUUAGUAUGGUAGAAGACCCAGCAAGUUAUUGAUAUAGAUUAGUAUGGUACGGUAGAAGACCCAGCAGUAAGGUUAUUGAUAUAGAUUAGUAUGGUACUAGACCCAGCAGUCAGGUUAUUGAUAUAGAUGAGGAAUAACAAGGUCUAAUUAUCCAACCCUGUGGUACGCCUGGACAUCUUGGCCCUAGUAGAUGCACAGCCAUUUGUGUUCUAGUUCCUGCCAAUAUCAAACUCCACACAGCCAUUGAGGAGGAAUGGGACAUUCCCAAUCACCAGCCUGAUCAGCUCUAUGCAUCACGCUGCACAAGGUAAAUGGUGGUCACACCAGAACCUGACUGGUUUUCUGAUCCAUGCCCCUACCUUUUUUUAAGCUGUCUGCAUUCUCAGGCACGUGGAAUCCAUAGUAUAGGGCCUAAUGAAUGUAUUUCAAUUGACUGAUUGAUUUCCUUAUGUGAACUGUAUCUCAGUAAAGUCUUUGAAAUUGUU